AGAGUUUGAUCAUGGCUCAGAUUGAACGCUGGCGGUAGGCUUAACACAUGCAAGUCGAGCGAGAAAGUAUCUUCGGAUAUGAGUAGAGCGGCGGACGGGUGAGUAACGCGUAGGAAUCUACCUAGUAGAAGGGGAUAGCCCGGGGAAACUCGGAUUAAUACCGUAUACCUCCUAAGGGAGAAAGAGGGCCUCUCUUGAAGCUCUCGCUACUAGAUGAGCCUGCGUAAGAUUAGCUUGUUGGUAAGGUAAUGGCUUACCAAGGCUACGAUCUUUAGCUGGUCUGAGAGGACGAUCAGCCACAUUGGGACUGAGACACGGCCCAGACUCCUACGGGAGGCAGCAGUGGGGAAUAUUGGACAAUGGGCGCAAGCCUGAUCCAGCCAUACCGCGUGUGUGAAGAAGGCCUUCGGGUUGUAAAGCACUUUAAGCAGGGAGAAAAAGCAAUAAGUUAAUACCUUAUUGCCGUGAUGUUACCUGCAGAAUAAGCACCGGCUAAUUCCGUGCCAGCAGCCGCGGUAAUACGGAAGGUGCAAGCGUUAAUCGGAAUUACUGGGCGUAAAGCGCGCGUAGGUGGUUUGUUAAGUUGGAUGUGAAAGCCCUGGGCUCAACCUAGGAACUGCAUCCAAAACUAACUCACUAGAGUACGAUAGAGGGAGGUAGAAUUCAUAGUGUAGCGGUGGAAUGCGUAGAUAUUAUGAAGAAUACCAGUGGCGAAGGCGGCCUCCUGGAUCUGUACUGACACUAAGGUGCGAAAGCGUGGGUAGCGAACAGGAUUAGAUACCCUGGUAGUCCACGCCGUAAACGAUGACAACUAGCUGUUGGGAGACAAUGUCUUUCAGUGGCGCAGCUAACGUUUUAAGUUGUCCGCCUGGGGAGUACGGCCG
rnacentral:rRNA from 1 species